UUAUUGAUUUUUUCUAUUUUUUCUCUAUUUUUCCUCCAUUUUUUCCAUCUUCAAGAGUCCCAACCGGGUGGGAAGCUUAGAGCAGCCGAAUAGGGAGGCUUAGACGAUGGCCGGAGCUUUGUGCUGAGUAAGUUUUUUCUUUUUUUUCCUUUCAUUUCUCUCUUUUUUUGAAGAUCUAUGGGAAAGAAAGCAUUAGAGGGAGAUUGGAGGGGAAGCCCGACGUUGGUGAUGAUAGAGAGGAAGGCGACGGUGAAGACUGAUGGAAGGUGGCGGU
rnacentral:lncRNA from 1 species